CGGCGAGUGAAGCGGCAAUAGCUCAAAUUUGAAAGCUGGCGUCUUCGACGUCCGCGUUGUAAUUUGUAGAGGAUGCUUCGGCAAGGACUCCUGCCUAAGUCCCCUGGAACGGGGCGUCACAGAGGGUGAGAAUCCCGUAUGUGGCGGGCGGUCCAAGCCAUGUGAAGCUCCUUCGACGAGUCGAGUUGUUUGGGAAUGCAGCUCUAAAUGGGAGGUAAAUUUCUUCUAAAGCUAAAUAUUGGCCAGAGACCGAUAGCGCACAAGUAGAGUGAUCGAAAGAUGAAAAGCACUUUGGAAAGAGAGUUAAAAAGUACGUGAAAUUGUUGAAAGGGAAGCGCUUGCAACCAGACUCGCUCGCAGUUGCUCAGCCGGCCUCUUGGCCGGUGUACUCUUCUGCGAUCGGGCCAGCAUCAGUUCGGGCGGCCGGAUAAAGGUGUCGGGAAUGUAGCACCCUUCGGGGUGUGUUAUAGCCCGGCGCGGAAUGCGGCCAGCCUGGACUGAGGAUCUCGCUUCGGCAAGGAUGCUGGCGUAAUGGUUGUAAGCGGCCCGUCUUGAAACACGGACCAAGGAGUCUAACAUCUAUGCGAGUGUUUGGGUGUCAAACCCAUGCGCGUAAUGAAAGUGAACGGAGGUGGGAACCCUUCACGGGGUGCACCAUCGACCGAUCCUGAUGUCUUCGGAUGGAUUUGAGUAAGAGCAUAGCUGUUGGGACCCGAAAGAUGGUGAACUAUGCCUGAAUAGGGUGAAGCCAGAGGAAACUCUG
rnacentral:rRNA from 1 species